UUAGAUAUCACGAAGNACUCCGAUUGCGAAGGCAGCUUGCUGGACUGUAACUGACGCUGAGGCACGAAAGCGUGGGGAUCAAACAGGAUUAGAUACCCUGGUAGUCCACGCCGUAAACGAUGAAUGCUAGCUGUUAGCGAUAUACUGUUAGCGGCACAGAGAAAUCGUUAAGCAUUCCACCUGGGGAGUACGCCGGCAACGGUGAAACUCAAAGGAAUUGACGGGGGCCCGCACAAGCGGAGGAACAUGUGGUUUAAUUCGAUGAUACGCGAGGAACCUUACCUGGGCUUAAAUUGCAGUGGAAUAACGUGGAAACAUGUUAGCCUUCGGGCCGCUGUGAAGGUGCUGCAUGGUUGUCGUCAGCUCGUGCCGUGAGGUGUCGGCUUAAGUGCCAUAACGAGCGCAACCCUCAUCGAUAGUUACUAACAGGUUAAGCUGAGGACUCUAUCGAGACUGCCGACGUAAGUCGUGAGGAAGGUGGGGAUGACGUCAAAUCAGCACGGCCCUUACGUCCAGGGCUACACACGUGUUACAAUGGGGGGUACAAAGGGCAGCUACCUGGCGACAGGAUGCUAAUCUCAAAAACCUCUCUCAGUUCGGAUUGGAGUCUGCAACCCGACUCCAUGAAGCUGGAUUCGCUAGUAAUCGCGCAUCAGCCACGGCGCGGUGAAUACGUUCCCGGGCCUUGUACACACCGCCCGUCAAGCCAUGGGAGCCGGGGGGACCUGAAGUAUGCAACCGUAAGGAGCGUCCUAGGGUAAAACUGGUGACUGGGGCU
rnacentral:rRNA from 1 species